AGUUGUAGAAUCACUGGUGAAUAAGGGGUGGGCAAGUUCUGGUGUCAGCCGCCGCGGUAAAACCAGCACCUCGAGUGGUCAGGAGGUUUAUUGGGCCUAAAGCAUCCGUAGCCGGUUGCAUAAGUUUUCGGUUAAAUCUAUGCGCUUAACGUAUAGGCCGCCGAAAAUACUGUGCAGCUAGGGAGUGGGAGAGGUACACGGUACUCGAUAGGAAGGGGUAAAAUCCUCUGAUCUAUUGAUGACCACCUGUGGCGAAGGCGGUGUACCAGAACACGUUCGACGGUGAGGGAUGAAAGCUGAGGGAGCAAACCGGAUUAGAUACCCGGGUAGUCCCAGCUGUAAACGAUGCAGACUCGGUGAUGCAUUGGCUUGUGGCCAAUGCAGUGCCGCAGGGAAGCCGUUAAGUCUGCCGCCUGGGAAGUACGUACGCAAGUAUGAAACUUAAAGGAAUUGGCGGGGGAGCACCACAAGGGGUGAAGCCUGCGGUUCAAUUGGAGUCAACGCCAGAAAUCUUACCUGGGGAGACAGCAGAAUGAAGGUCAAGCUGAAGACUUUACCAGACACGCUGAGAGGUGGUGCAUGGCCGUCGCCAGCUCGUGCCGUGAGAUGUCCUGUUAAGUCAGGUAACGAGCGAGACCCCUGCGUCUAGUUGCUACCAUUACUCUCUGGAGCAGUGGAGCGAAUUAGACGGACCGCCGCAGUUAAUGUGGAGGAAGGAAGGGGCCACGGCAGGUCAGUAUGCCCCGAAACCCUAGGGCUACACGCGGGCUGCAAUGGUAUUGACAUGUGUUCCGAAUCCGAAAGGAGGAGGCAAUCAUCAAACAUAUCUCAGUUAUGACUGAGGGC
rnacentral:rRNA from 1 species